CAGAGUUGCAAAACUCCAAACCAUUGUGAACUUACCUUUGCCGUUGCUUCGGCGGGCGGCCCGGGCCCUGCCCGGCGCCCCCCGGCCCCGCUGGGGGCGCCCGCCGGAGGUAAACCAAACCCUUGAAUUGCAUGGCCUCUCUGAGUCUUCUGUACUGAAUAAGUCA
rnacentral:misc_RNA from 1 species